CACCGCGGUUAUACGAGAGGCUCAAGUUGACAGACAACGGCGUAAAGAGUGGUUAGGGAAAAUUUUAAAGACUAAAGCCGAACGUCCUCAGAGCUGUUUAACGCUUCCGAGUUAAGAAGAUCUUUAACGAAAGUAGCUUUACUAAACCUGACCCCACGAAAGCUGUGAAA
rnacentral:rRNA from 1 species